UCCGAAAUGUCAUUUUCAAGCUAGUAGCAUAUUUGGUUUGUGUUCGGGAAGUGCCAAAUGAGUUUUGGGUGAGCUUUUAAGCUUCUUGGAUGCUUUGACACUAUUUCAGCAUAUUGUGGCAACUAAAGGGUUCAUUAUUAGUUUUAAGGGUCGAAAAAUUAUUCCGAAGGUUCUGGAAUUUUGAGCAUGAAUUAUAGGACUUAUUUGUAAAUUUUGGUGCAUUUUCGCUAACCCGAGAUUGGAUUUUUAUCGCAAAUAAGAAAUAAUUGUUUACCGAGUAGAAAUGAUAUUUGACUGGGCAAACGAGCAUGAAAUUGAGCUUCGAUUGAACGAGC
rnacentral:lncRNA from 1 species